CUGAAUACCUUCUAGGUCCUGGGAAAUGCGAGAGAAAGAAAGACACAGAGUCUGCCUUAACUGAACUUAUACCCCAGUGCCCAUGGACGAGGAUGCUGAAGGCUCCCGGGAUGUAAAAGACAAGAAAAGCAAUGGCACCAAGUGAACUGAAUUGACUGGGAAGAUGGAAACUCACCCAUUGGAAAAAGCCAAGAGGAGAAGCUGCCGAAGCAUAAAGUGAUUAUUCCACUCCUCCGAAGAUCUCUACUUUUGCACAUCGUUGAAACCUCUACGUGUAUAUUUGGUCCCAUCAUCUGAUAUGAGAGAAGAGAAAGCAGAAGGCCACUGAGAUCUAAGUGACCUGCCAUGAGUCUCACAUCCAGUGACAUCCUGGCCCAGAAUGUGUAUCACCUAACUCUUCGUACGGGGUCAGCUCCAUCUCUGUCUCUCUGGGUUGCCAACACAUUUUCAGGGUGAUGGUGGAAGGUAUACUUUGACAUCUGCCUGGGCACCGGCCUUGGGGCCACCCAGAGGGACCACCGCACGUAGCGAAUUCUUUAUAAUCUUACAGCAAGCCCCCUCCUGUGGCAGGUGAAGGAGGAGGAGUGGGGAAAAUUAUCUCUUUCAAAUGCUUUGACUGAUGAUGUGGAGAUCAAUAGGCAUUCCUGGCCAUGUUUGGUCCUCAGGAGCAUGAAUGUUAGAAAUCCUCCCAGUCCACAGAACCUGAACUGAAACUUCUGCUAACAGCAAAGUGAGUCACUUCAACUGAGGAUGGGAAUGUGAGGCGACUGACCCUCACCCUGGCCACCCCCUGUCUCACUGGCCCAUGAGUAAAGCAGCAGCUAUGCAGCCCAUGCCACCAGAUCAGCAGUAGCCUGAGGCCAUCUGUUUCUACCCGGCAGGCAGAAGCCCAGCAUGCACUGGUUCCAACUGGAUUUCUGUGGGGAGGAAAGCAGAGAGGGCCCCAGCUGCUGUCACCAGACAAGGAGGCGCCUUCUCCUCACCUCUGUCCUGGGCGCCCUCCAUGGACCUGAGUUCCCAGCUGUCUUGCGGCUAGAGACUCUCUUUGCCUGACUCAGAAUACUAAGUGUGUCCUACCUCCAAAGGCAGAAUUAAAAACAAUUUUUUUU